GAUGUUCAUUCAAAUAUCUGCCUAUCAACUUUCGAUGGUAGGAUAGAGGCCUACCAUGGUUUCAACGGGGUAACGGGGAAUAAGGGUUCGAUUCCCGGAGAGGGAGCCUGAGAAACGGUACCACAUCCAAGGAAGGCAGCAGGGCGCAAAUUACCCAAUCCCGACACGGGGAGGUAGUGACAAUAAAUAACAAUAUAGGGCUCAUUUGGGUCUUAUAAUCGGAAUGAGUACAAUUUAAAUCCCUUAACGAGGAACAAUUGGAGGGCAAGUCUGGUGCCAGCAGCCGGGUAAUUCCAGCUCCAAUAGCGUAUAUUAAAGUUGUUGCAGU
rnacentral:rRNA from 1 species